CUUGUUCGUUACAAACUGACCUCCCCUUAACACUUCUCCCCGCUCUCUGUCUCUGGUGUGGGUUUGUGAAUAGCGGUCUCGAGGUGGAGCUGUUACCGGCGGCGAAAGAGGAGGAGGAGGAGCAGCGGCAGGCGGCGCCGUAGGUGGGUGGUGGGGAAGGGAAAGGGCCGGGGAGGUUUGGGCGGGUGUCGGGUGGCGGAGGCGGAGGCGUAGGCGGACCGGCGGAGGUCCACCCACUCGGCGCCGUCCCGGGGCGGCCUCGCGCCGCGGCCGCGCCGGUUGAGGUAUACCCAGUUGGGCCGGCGGGGCAGGGCCGGGCCGGUCCGGCCGGUCUUCGAGGCGGCGGACCAGGUCGAGCCCCUGGACCUGCGGCGCGAGGCGGAGGAGCCGCGGAGGGGGCUGGGCGGCCGGCAGCAGCGGACGUUGUAGGAGUAGUUCUUCGAGACGCGCGUCGCGGCGGAGCGGCUGCGCCUCGCGCACGAGCUGCGCGAGUUCCGCCGGCCGCGCCGCCUGGGGCAGAGGGUGUUGUGGGAGCAGCGGCCGAUGACGGCGCUGCCGGCCGACCGCCUGCGGCUCGCGCGGGAGCGCCGCCGCCGGGAGAGGCCCCGGCGGUUGCAGCAGUGGAUGUGGUGCGAGUAGUUGCCGAUGACGGCGAGGCCGUCCGAGCGGCUGCGCGAGCGGGAGUAGCGGAGGUACGGGCAGCGCGGCCUGUGGAUGUGGAUGUUGUGGCACGAGUACCCGGACACACCGCGGGCCGUCACCCUCCUGCGGCUCCUCGAGUACCGGCUCUACCAGUCCUUGGUAACGGGAGGGUUGCUCCACUGCAAGCGGUGGGUCUAGGCGCGAAAGACGGUCUUGCCCGACGAGCUGGCGCGGCAAGUCGACGAGCUGGCUUACGGAUCCAUGCCUACGUGCGGGCUACAACAGUAAAUGUCGUGGGACCACUUACCCAAGAGCUUCGUUCCCGCACAGCUGCUGCGGUAGCUCGACGAGUUGCCGUACGAGACGUUCGGGUUGUGACAAACAAUGUUGCGGCGCGACUUUCCAAACACGUAGCGAGUCGCAACCCUCCUACAGCCUCUCGACUAACACCCCUACCAAUUCUUUCUGACGGACGGUUUGCUUCGCUGUAAGUCAUACGAUUGGUCAACGAACACGGUCUUACCCGACCAACUAACACGCCACCUUCAGGAGCUCGUCUACGUGUUCAUACCCACGUCUGGACUACAACAGUAAAUGUUAUGCGACUAUAUAAGGAAAAGUCUUGUUCCCGCACACCUCCUGCGCGAGUUCAAUGAUUUGUCGUACGGCACGUCAGGACUGCAGUAAUCGAAGUUGCGGCGCAACUUCCCAAAUACGUCUCGACUCGCUACCCUACUACGGCUCCUCGAAUAUCCCGUCUACGAAUCCCUCCUGACAGGGGAUUAACUUUACUGAAAGUUAUAUGAGUAACUAAGCGACACGGUCUCACCGGCCCAUUUGAUGCGUUAACUUCACAAACUCGUUUACGGUUUGAAACCUACAUGUGGACUAUAACAGUGUAUGUCAUCGGAAUAAUUACCGGAAAGACUUGUUCCCGAACAGCUUAGUCGGUAACUCAACAAAGUUUCGUACGGUACGUUCGGACUAUAGAAACCGAUGUUACGACACGACUUCCCAAACACGUUUCGACGCGCUACCCUCCUACGACCCCUCGAAUAUAGAUUCUACCGAUCUUUCCUAACGGGGGGUUUACUUUAGUGUAAGUUAUAUGAUUAGUUAAGGGACACGGUCUUUCCCGAACAACUAGCACGUUAACUCCAAAAGCUCGUUUACGGUUUCAUACCUUCAUGUGGACUAUAAAAGUGUAUGUUACGGGAAUAGUUACCGAAAAGACUUGUUCCGGCAGACCUACUACGGGCGUUCUAUAAUUCGUGGUACAGUACGUUCGGACUACGGCACAGGAUAUUAAGACGUAACUUCCCAAAUACAGCUCGACUUGCUACCUUCCUUCGUCUCCUCCAACACCGACUCUACGAAUCUUUCUUCACGGGAGGUUUACUUCAUUGUAAGUUCAUACGAUUAGCUAAUAAACAUGGUUUGUCCCAUUGAACUCAGUUGGAAAACUUAGAGAAGUCUUUUACGGUUAAUACUUCAAUACGAAACGGUAGAUGUGACGGGGACGGUUUCCUCUAAAACAUUCGUUCUCGGACUUCCCAUGAUGUCCGGACGGUGUCAGACGAGAAUACGAAGUAGUUACCUAAACACAUCUUUACUCGUUGUCCUAUGACGGUCUCAAAGACCAACUCUAGUCGCGCCUUUCCGAUUAGGUUUAUCACGUAGAAAACCAACCGGCCCUAGUACCGGGCCAGGUACGAUCACGGUCUUUUGCGCUCCAUCCGUUGACCUCCGUUGCUCCUGUGCCACCUCCGGAUGUAGAGAGGUCGAUUGGAAAGUAAAGGACGUUAAACGUGUUAGUUUGACUCUGCUGACACGACGGUGGAUGGAGAGAGGCACGUACUCGCGGCCACUGCUACUGUUCCACCGAACGAAGAGAGGAUAUAACGUUGACGACGAUCGUCCUCCCUCGAAGAACUAAUUCCUUGUUUGAUAUAAAAUAACAUUCCUCUUUUCAGUCAACGUUGUUUAUUAAUAAACAGUCAAUGGUUCACACGAGUCUACAUAAUAAGAUAGACUUUACCAACUUUUAACUUUUCGUAACAUGAAGACUCAUUAAGACUUUUGGGUACCAAAGUAAGUAUAGACCCAUUAAGACGAGUACGUGGAAGAGGUACCUUUAAGACCUACUACACAUACACAAUGUUAGGUUUAUCGACGAGCCAGUCGAAGACUUCUACCCUUCAAGUCUCAAGUUCGUUUGUUUCACGACACGAUGUCCUAAACACGUCUCGACGCGCUACCCUCCUUCGACCCCUCUACUAUAGAUUCUACCGGUCUUUCCUAACAGGGGGUUUACUUCAGUGUAGUUAUAUGAUUAGUUAAGGAACACGGUUUUUCCCGAAUAGCUAGCACGUUAGAACCACCAACUCGUUUACGGUUUCAUACCUUCAUGUGGACUAUAAAAGUGUAUGUUACGGGAAUAGUUACCGAAAAGACUUGUUCCGGCAGACAUACUACGGCUGUUCAAUAAUUCGUGAUACGGCACGUUCGGUCUAUGGCAAAGGAUAUUAAGAUGUAACUUCAAGUACAUCUCGACUCGCUACCUUCCUUCGUCUCCUCCAACACCGACUCUACGAAUCUUUCUUCACGGGAGAUUUCCUUCAUUGUAAGUUAAUACGAUUAGUUAACAAAUAUGGUUUGUCCCAUUGGACUUAGUUGGAAACUUUAGAGAACUCUUUUAAGGUUAUUAUAUUUCAAUACGAACCAGUAGAUGUGACGGGGACGCUUUCCGCGAAAACAUUCGUUCUCAGACUUCCUACGGGACUCAAUACUUAGUCACGUGAACACGUCCGGACGGUGCCAGGUGAGAAUAAGAAGUAGUUUCCUAAACACAUCUUUACUCGUUGUACAUUUACGGUCUCAAAGACCAACUCUAGUCGCGGCUCUCCCAUUAGGUUUAUUCCGGAGAAAACCAAUCCGACCUAUAUCGGUCCUAGUACCGGACUAGGUGCGGUCACUGUCUUUUGCACUACAUCCGUUGGCCUCCGCUGCCCCGUCUCAGCUGUCUCGGAUGUGGAGACCGUUUUAAAAUCAAAGAGGAAAGGGGUGUUGAACGUGUUGACUUGACUCUAUUGACACGGCAGUGGAUGAAGAGAGGCGUGUACUGGAGGCCGCCGUUGCUGUUGUUACCGAACCAAGAGAGGACAUUCAUGGACGUGGUAGCAGGUUUUUAGAUCCCAAACUCUAAAGGUAGAGAAGGAAGACUAAGAACACAACUCGCGGGUACUAAGAGGAGAAAGGGGACGAACUUUCUUAACCGCCCGUACCUAGAACCCGACCUUGAUCAAAUAAUACAUAGUUAUACUACAUGACGUACAACGGCGAAAAUGAUCUGUACGCGUACGGACAAAAAUGGUUAAGUACAAACAGAGGACAUAAGUCU
rnacentral:rRNA from 1 species